CGUGGGGGGUGCAGCGCACCAGGCGAGCAGAAAAACACAUCGCACCGCACGAGGUAGAAAACGGCAUCGAACCCUAGCCCCAAUCCACAGCCCUGCGCCCCUCGCUCCUCCCUCCCUCGCCCGCCGCCGCUCCCUCCCACCACCUCCUCCUCCUCCUUCUGCGCCCUAGGAGCCCCGCUGCCGCCUGCUACUCCUCCACCGCCUCGCCUCUUCCUCCUUCCCGCCUUCCCAUCGCUUAGGUUGGCGGUUAGCGGCGGCUCGAUCCACUCCGUGGUUUCAGAUGGGCUGCCUUCCCCAUCUCUUGUCCGUGUCCGGUGCCGUCACUCGAUCUCGAUCUUGGGAGCAUGCGGGAGAGAAGCAUCGUGCCUAUUGCCAGGACGGGACAUGGGGGUGGAGGCGAGCGAGAGAGUGGGUGUUGCUGAAGAAGCUGGGGAGGCAAGACGAGGGCGGCGUGGCGUUUCGUGGCCGCGGUGGCCGGAGGGGCGGCUCCACGUCACGGUGUAUGAGGUGCCUAGAGGAGGAUGCUGCGGCAGGUUAAACUCCUCUCCCGUUAUUGAGCAGUCCGCAGUGCCGUCACCGUCGUCCUUGCCUUCGAGCCAUCCGUGCCGCCGUCGCCGUCGCCUAGAGGAUGCCGGUAGGAAGCAGCAGCUCGCCGUUUCCUUGGUCCCCGCCGACGCCAAGCAAGAAGAGAAGGCACGUGUGCUGUAGGUGUAGCAAAUUGGACAAGCUACAUCGCUAAUGCCGGGUGUAUGGAGCUCAGGAAGGCUAUCUGCAACAAGCUUCAGGAGGAUAAUGGUCUAACCUAUAGCCCAGAUCAUGUGCUAGCGACCAAUGGGGCUAAGCAAUGCACUACACACGCUGUUCUUGAUGUUCUCUCAUGUGGUGACGAGGUAAAUUUGAAGCCUAAGGUGCCAACAAAGGUAGUUUGUGCUGAACAUCUUGAGUUACAGAACGAGAUACUCACACUGCUUAACAUACAGUGGCAAGUACUUUCCUGAAGGAGCUCCUGAAUGCUUUAGGCUUUGAUGUCUGCUUUAGUCUGAUAUUUCCAUUUGAUCUUCCAAAAGGAGCAACCAUCACAGUGCUGAAAUUAUGUUCCACUUGAUGGUUCUUAAUUGUAUUUCUCAGUUUAGGUUUGGACUUGCACUACAGGUGGUUGCGAAUCUCAGGCUUUGCGUGUCUGUCUGUGACAUCCUUGCUGUCGAAGGCGGAUUCACCUUUCCAUGAUAGGGCUGCUCGACGUAUAAAGUAAUUAGUGCCAUCAUCUUUGCCAUCCAUUUAUCUUUAUUAAGGAAUGUGAUGUUACUACUUACUAAUUAUGUAUGUUGUUUAGUAUUUGCAGAAGCAUUCUCAACUUUUCUAUGUACUUUCUCUUUUCUCUACUUUGUUUGGGUAGUAUUUACCCUGUCCUGAGAAUAGCAGAGAUAGACAUGCCUAUGUGUACAGCUAAGUAAUCAAAAUAGUUGAGAUACACACGCCUAUGUCUACAGGAAAACCAGCUUAACAUUCAUAUCUCAACUCCCUAUACACUCUGAUCAGACAUAAAAUUAAGCUUAGGCCAGCAAACUGGAAAAAAGGCAUAUAUGGUUACCGUGUAGAGCAUGUGAGUAAAUACACAUUGUUCAGUUCAUAUUUGAUUCCACAGGUUGCAUGGUGCAUGUUUUUUGCUGUGAGUUUCUUUGUAUGCUAGCGGAGCUCGAGUUCAAUAGUUCUUCACAUUACAUAUUUGUUAUUCACCCCCGUACUGAAUUUCUUUAAAAUACAUUGGUUCCAGUCUUGACUAUGGGCUGUUUUGCCAUGCUUACAUCAGAGCUCAAAAGUAGACGUCAUCAGCAAGUAGGUGAUACAUGUCUAUCUGAUUUAGCAUUUUGGAAUUGCUCACAACAUUUCUUUCGGCAUGUCAAUGAAAAUGGCACCUUCCCGUUCUAAUGUUCAUUAUGUUUCUUGAAGCCCUCACCAUCUUUAUAUUCAUUACACAUUCUCAAAAGCUUAUUUCUUAAUAAUACCUAAAAUGAAUACCAUGAGCUACCUCUCCAGUUUAUUCUUAUUUGAGUAUUAAGAGCACCUACAUUGCUUUGGUUCUGUAUGACUGAUCAAAUUUACACACACCUCAAUCAUAGUAAAAUCUGGAAGACGACGUAAAAGAAUCAAAGAAAAGUAGAGAUGCACAAUAGUUUUAGCUUUUCAGGGAUUGUUCUUGUUGGGUUCAGCUUUCGCCGGCAUGUUGUUAUUACAGAGUUACCGUAUCUCUUUGAAUCGUCAUAUGUACUCCAAACUCUUAUAGAUUAUGCAACUAGCUAAUGGUUGGAACUUUUACUCAGCUUUAUUAUAGGUGGCACAAAGUCAUGUUAGUUGCCAUUUUAUUGCUACAGAUAUGUUCUUGUUCUGAUUGUUUAUGUGAUGAUUAUAUCCAUGUGUAUGUAGCACAACCUCAUGUUUACACGUGGCUUGAAAUCGGCUGUACUUUUUUUGCUUUUGUUACAAGAUAUAUCAUCAAUUUCUUGUCUGGAUGUACUUUUAUUAGUUUGCUUCUAACUGCAUCUUAAUAUGUACUCGGUAGGCUCUACAGGAUUCGAUGAUGGAUGUGUGAAUGUGAGCAAUCAGGAUAUAAAUUUCUUCCAACAGCAAGGCAUGCUGAUUAGAUUCAGGAAUAUGUUCUUGCGUCUCAGCUUUGCAGCUUCACGUUGUAGGACUAAUAUUUGGUACCUGACAUGAGAUUGAGAAAUACCAUGCUUUAAUUAAUUAGUACAUACCUUGUGCAGGGCACAUAAAAUAUAUCUGAUAUCGCUUUUUUGUUAUUUAUAUUUUUAUCUUUUCUACCCUAAUUCAGUAGCACCAUUUCUUGAUGUUAUUUCUCUAUAGGAUUGUUGCUUCCACUAUAGCUUUUCCCCUCUGAAAUGAAUUUGAAUUAGGUCACUUUAGUGUCAAGGUAAAAAUUUCUUUGUUCUCGGGAAGGGCCAAUAUCCUAGGUGAUCGUUAAAUAUUAUUAAUAAUUACCAAUUAAUAAUUAUGUGCUUGAUUGUUUGUUGAUGACCAAUAAUUAUGUAUUUCACUUAUAAGUAACUAUCUAAUUUGCAUGUUCCAUUUUAUUUCAGAUGUAACACAUUCUUUAUAUGUAUUAUGAUGGAUUUUAGAUAUGCUCACUUGAUAUCAUUUUUUCUCUUGACUCUAAAACAGGUAUGUACACGCUAUUUAAGAGGGCCAAGAAGGCGGAAUAGCCUCGCUGAUACAGUUUCUGACUGCUAACAGUGCCAUCAUCAAUGAGCUUCACUCUAAAGUCUGUUCAUGGGAGGGUUGGGCUUCCUUCAAUGCUAGGGAUGAAAUUGGAGAAUAAACAAGGGGUUGACAUGCUUGUGAAGUUCUAUUAGUGCCAUCAUCAAUGAGCUUCACUCUAAAGUCUGUUCAUGGGAGGGUUGGGCUUCCUUCAAUGCUAGGGCUGAAAUUGGAGAAUAAUUAAACAAGGGGUUGACAUGCUUGUGAAGUUCUAUUAGGUUUCAGGUUCCUUUUGUUGUGAGGUGCUCCAUGGCCCUUUGCUUGGAUGCUCUGUGGUGAGGCAACAGAGAUAAUUAGCAGUCUUGUAUACUAACCAAGAGAACAUCCAUUUCAUGAUUUUGGGUAUUGGGUUCUCUUUGCUAAACCAGCUGCAGCUAGAUGAGAGAAGUAGUAAGUAAUAUCAGGACAGCGUCUCCCCGUGUUCUCGAUCCGGCGCCGCCACAUAUCAUGAUUCUGGAUUGGGCGCAGGUCAUCGCCAUAAGAGAGCCUGGCUGGUGUGGUCUUCAUGCUUGGUGUGGAGAAGCACGGGGGAUGAGUAGGACGGGCAUGGGGAAGGAGCAGCUAGGCCGGAGCUCCGGCGUUGUUCGCGUCAUGGUCGAAUGGAGCCGGCCAUCACUAUGGGCUGCUGCUCGCCGGUCGUCGUUUAUCCAAUCUCAGUUGCUCAUCUUUGGCUUCACCAUCUUCCUCCCCUGAUCAUGCAUCUAUUUUAGAUCAUAUAAUUAUGCUAUAUUAUAUAUGUUGUUUAGUUCAGACUUGUGCAUGUGCAUGCAUUGGCAUUGAUUUAGACAGAGAUAUUGCAUGAUUUGUACAUAGAAGGAGUACGGAUGAUCUAGGAAUAAAUGUUUGAAUAAAGUUAGUAGUGAGAUUUAGAUAGAGGUUACCUGCACUGUUCUGUUUUAUGUAGAUUCUAAGCUGCAAAAUCAUACAUGGUCCUGUUAGUAA